ensembl:lncRNA
CGAGAAGGAACGUCUCCUGAGGUUGCACGCAGCACCCCGCACAGCCUUCCGCUGGCUGCCUAGGCGGGAGGUGGCACGUCCUCACAGGCACUGCCUUCCCUGCCCCUCACAGAACAUCACCGUAGCAGAGGGCACACAGAGGAUAUGAGCCCAGCCUGGUGCUGACUGCACCGUGCCCCGCUCCUCAGCCAUCAUCGCCAUCUUGGCCACCUCAGCACGUCACAGGGAUCAAAGCAAACCUCUCUGAACGGUUCUGCUCUCACCACUAGUUACACAGUUUCCAUUCAGGAGGAAGCUACAAGGCACAGGCUAGUUCUUGCUGGCAGCACAGCCAGCACCGUUCUGAGCCGGGAUCUCUCUUUGGAGGCCACUGCAGCAGGAGCCGGGGCAGGCUGGGGAUGUGUGGUAGCAGCCGUUGGCACAGGGUUACCUCAGCGUCCUGUCAGGGCACUGAGCGCCACAGAGCAGAUGGGAUCCCAGUCUUCCCGCCAUUUCUAUGACUGUAAAACUUUCCCAAAGUGCAAAAUUUCAUGCUUUUUGGAGAAGAAUCAAAGCUACCAGGCUUUCUUGAUGAAAAUAUUAAUUGCUAGUGCCAGGCAAGGACCUGGGCUCCAGAAGCUCCCCCAGCCGUGGCCUCAGCACCUGGUGAAAUGGCGAUGCUCAUCCUCUUUGCUCUCCUCCGCCUCCAGACGUCCCAGCCAGCUGUAUCCAAGAUGAGAAGAGU